rnacentral:rRNA from 1 species
GUGUCAGCAGCCGCGGUAAUACAGAGGGUGCGAGCGUUGUUCGGAAUUACUGGGCGUAAAGCGCGCGCAGGCGGCUCUUUAAGUCUGACGGUGAAAUGCCGGGGCUCAACCCCGUGCCCGCCGCGGAUACUGGAGAGCUGGAGACACGUAGAGGCAAGCGGAAUUCCGGGUGUAGCGGUGGAAUGCGUAGAGAUCCGGAAGAACACCGGAGGCGAAGGCGGCUUGCUGGGCGUAGUCUGACGCUGAGGCGCGAAAGCGUGGGGAGCGAACAGGAUUAGAUACCCUGGUAGUCC